ensembl:ncRNA F19D8.7 ncRNA
UACCACGAUGCUUCUUGCAAUGGACGACGGUAGAAGUCGGCUUUCCGCCUGGCUGCUCUAAGGUCGCUGCUUUUGGGACCUCUUGAGCGCCCAAAUCCAGGUGAGUAUAAAAGUUAGGUCGGAAUCGCAUCUUCU